UGGGGAAUCUUAGACAAUGGGGGCAACCCUGAUCUAGCCAUGCCGCGUGGAUGAUGAAGGCCUUAGGGUCGUAAAGUCCUUUCGCCGGGGAAGAUAAUGACGGUACCCGGUAAAGAAGCCCCGGCUAACUCCGUGCCAGCAGCCGCGGUAAUACGGAGGGGGCUAGCGUUGUUCGGAAUGACUGGGCGUAAAGCGCGCGUAGGCGGACCUGCAAGUCGGGGGUGAAAUCCCGGGGCUCAACCCCGGAAUGGCCUUCGAGACUGCCGGUCUUGAGUUCGAGAGAGGUGGGUGGAAUUCCGAGUGUAGAGGUGAAAUUCGUAGAUAUUCGGAGGAACACCAGUGGCGAAGGCGGCCCACUGGCUCGACACUGACGCUGAGGUGCGAAAGCGUGGGGAGCAAACAGG
rnacentral:rRNA from 1 species